rnacentral:rRNA from 1 species
UACGUAGGGUGCAAGCGUUGUCCGGAAUUAUUGGGCGUAAAGGGCUCGUAGGCGGUCCAUCGCGUCGGGAGUGAAAAGCUGGGGCUCAACCCCAGUCCUGCUUCCGAUACGGGUGGACUAGAGGUAUGCAGGGGAGAACGGAAUUCCUGGUGUAGCGGUGAAAUGCGCAGAUAUCAGGAGGAACACCGGUGGCGAAGGCGGCUUGCUGGGCCUUACCUGACGCUGAGGAGCGAAAGCGUGGGGAGCGAACAGG